rnacentral:rRNA from 1 species
UACGUAGGGGGCAAGCGUUGUCCGGAUUUAUUGGGCGUAAAGAGCGUGUAGGCGGCUUGACAGGUCUGCUGUGAAAACUCGAGGCUCAACCUCGAGAUGUCGGCGGAAACCGUCUGGCUAGAGUCCGGAAGAGGAGAGUGGAAUUCCUGGUGUAGCGGUGAAAUGCGCAAAUAUCAGGAAGAACACCUAUGGCGAAGGCAGCUCUCUGGGACGGUACUGACGCUGAGACGCGAAAGCGUGGCGAGCGAACAGG